rnacentral:lncRNA from 1 species
UCCGGCACAUCAACAUAUUGAUCUGUUGGAAUAAACUCUGGUUGGUCAUCUAGCCACCCCUCUUGACCAUUUUGCCCUCUAAUUAUAUUGUGAAAUGCACUUGCUGCAGCUGCAAUCUUGAAUUGAUUUUCUAUGGGAUGGAAAGUGCCUAAUUUUAGAAUCGGGAACCUCUUCUUUAGAACACUAAUGGCCCUCUCUGUAUGGUUGUGAAGCAAUGCAUGGCGAUGGUUAAACAGUUCUUUGUAGUUUGCAUAACCACUUUUAGACGAACAACGCCUUCUAAACUCACCGAGUGGGUACUG